rnacentral:lncRNA from 1 species
AAAUAUUCACAUAUCUUUAGUAGAGUCAGAGUAAUGUCCAAGCACAACUAUGAGGACAUUUUCAUCAGCCUAAAAAACCCAUUCUCGUUGCAUAGUCCCUUCCCGUUGCCUCCUCCCUGUGCACCUGGCAGUCAACAGGCCUCCCAUCCAGAUGGAUUUGCCUGUUCUGCACUUUUCAAAUCAAUGCGGUCGUAUCAUAAGUGACCCUUUGUGAGUGGCAGAGAGUUUUCAAGGUUCAUCCAUAUUGCAGCAUGUAUCAGUGCUUCAUGUCUUUCUAUGACUAGAUAAUAUAGUAUCAAAUCGUAUAGGUCACAAUUCGUGUAUUCAUUCAUGGGGCCUGGGGGAGGAGCCUGCUAUUGCCUCUGCUUAUUCCAGACACCACAGAGGGCUGAGGCGGAGCUGCUCCCCAGGAAGGCAGGGCUGGCUGGAAAGGCUGGAGGGAGGUAGCGGGAAUAAUUACCUGAGCUGGCAGCCAGCCCUGGCAGCAGUGAGAGAGUGACCCGGGCAGCCCAGGGGAGGGUGAGCCGGGCACCUUUAGUGGCACAGGUGUUGGAGUAGCAAAUUUUCCAUGAAUUGGGGGCUGUUCCACACGAUUAAAAUAGCCGCUUGGGCCUCUUGGCAAGCUCGGUGUUCUCUUCACACUCUGCAGUGUGUCCUUCAACUCCUCCCAGGCUGUUCCAAGGAUAAGUGGCAAGAGGAAUUCCUUCUCUUUUCAUGCACGCUAAUAAGGAAGGGGGGAGUGGUCCCCAGGGCAGGCUGGGAGGCGAGGCAGGGUGUCCUGCUGGGCUGGGCCGUGUGGAGGGGAGGCUUGGGCAGAGCUCGGGAACGGCUCUCGAGAGGUGCAGACACAGGCGGAGAGGGAGGCUGAGAGGCCGGAAAAGCCAGAAAUGGAGAGUGAGGCGGCGUGGGCCCAUCUGUGAGCCCAGGGCCUGGAGCCCACGCGGCAGGGUCCCUCGGGUGUCACAUCCAGGCCUGGGAGAAGUCACGACAAGAUCGGCUCUCCCUCCUCCUCUGUGCCAUGGCUGCUGGGAGGAACGAAGGAGCGAUGUCAAUGAGGAUGACAGCGAAGCCCAGAUGCCCUGCACAGCUCCCAGCUGACUGUGACCCGCACACCCCGGCCUCCAGGCUGCGCCCCAUCCUGCUGGCCUUCUGUCCACUCCGUCUGGUGCAACUGAGGGUCCUAGCCCUUCCCUGAGUCACCCUGCAUGCUCUUCCUUUCUUUCUUCUUCUUCUUUUUUGAAACUCUGGAACUCUCUUCGUGCUCGUCUGUUCUUCCCUAAGCCCAUCUAUUAAAUGGAAUUAAUGUACGAUGUGCAUUGUAAUGAUAGUUCCUGCUCAUCCUUGUGCACGUGAUCCCUGUCCUCUCCCGGGGCCCACAGUAGUUUCCCUGUUGGC